rnacentral:rRNA from 1 species
GACGAACGCUGGCGGCGUGCUUAACACAUGCAAGUCGAGCGAUGAAGCUCCUUCGGGAGUGGAUUAGCGGCGGACGGGUGAGUAACACGUGGGUAACCUGCCUCAUAGAGGGGAAUAGCCUUCCGAAAGGAAGAUUAAUACCGCAUAAGAUUGUAGUACCGCAUGGUAUAGCAAUUAAAGGAGUAAUCCGCUAUGAGAUGGACCCGCGUCGCAUUAGCUAGUUGGUGAGGUAACGGCUCACCAAGGCGACGAUGCGUAGCCGACCUGAGAGGGUGAUCGGCCACAUUGGGACUGAGACACGGCCCAGACUCCUACGGGAGGCAGCAGUGGGGAAUAUUGCACAAUGGGGGAAACCCUGAUGCAGCAACGCCGCGUGAGUGAUGACGGUCUUCGGAUUGUAAAACUCUGUCUUCAGGGACGAUAAUGACGGUACCUGAGGAGGAAGCCACGGCUAACUACGUGCCAGCCGCCGCAGUAAUAC